rnacentral:rRNA from 1 species
CCUACGGGAGGCAGCAGUGAGGAAUAUUGGUCAAUGGACGAGAGUCUGAACCAGCCAAGUAGCGUGAAGGAUGACUGCCCUAUGGGUUGUAAACUUCUUUUAUACGGGAAUAAAGUGGAGUAUGCAUACUCCUUUGUAUGUACCGUAUGAAUAAGGAUCGGCUAACUCCGUGCCAGCAGCCGCGGUAAUACGGAGGAUCCGAGCGUUAUCCGGAUUUAUUGGGUUUAAAGGGAGCGUAGAUGGAUGUUUAAGUCAGUUGUGAAAGUUUGCGGCUCAACCGUAAAAUUGCAGUUGAUACUGGGCGCCUUGAGUGCAGCAUAGGUAGGCGGAAUUCGUGGUGUAGCGGUGAAAUGCUUAGAUAUCACGAAGAACUCCGAUUGCGAAGGCAGCCUGCUAAGCUGCAACUGACAUUGAGGCUCGAAAG